CACGUAGGGCGCAAGCGUUGUCCGGAAUUAUUGGGCGUAAAGAGCUCGUAGGCGGUCUGUUGCGUCCGCUGUGAAAACUCGGGGCUUAACCCCGAGCCUGCAGUGGGUACGGGCAGACUAGAGUGCGGUAGGGGAGACUGGAAUUCCUGGUGUAGCAGUGAAAUGCGUAGAUAUCAGGAGGAACACCCGUGGCGAAGGCGGCUUCCUGGGGCCAUCCUGACACUGAGAAGCGAAAGCAUGGGGAGCGAACAGG
rnacentral:rRNA from 1 species